GAGGGUGUAGCUCAAGUGGUAGAGUGCCUGCUUAGCAUGCAGGAGGUCCUGAGUUCAAUUCCGAGUACCUCCU
rnacentral:tRNA from 1 species